ACACGUAUGAAAGACAAGCUGAAAGACUUUUCUCAAUGAUGUAAGUGGUGGUGCAUGGUCGUUCUUAGUUCGUGGAUUGAUUUGUCUGGUCUAUUCCGAUAACGAGCGAGACCCCUACGUUCCUAAUAGGGGUGGCAGCCCGGCUUUGCCCCGCAAGGGGCUUCGCUAGCAGCCACCUAUUCAACUUCUUAGACGUAUCAGAGCCGAUAAGGUUCUUGAAAUGGGUUAAUAACAGGUCAGUCAUGCCCUUAGAUGUUCUGGGCCGCACGCGCGUUACAAUGGUAUACAUAGAACGUGCUCAUACGGGCUUCUCCGCGACCUACUGGUCGUGGUAAUCCCUAAUCUCUCCCUUGACUGGGACAGACUAUUGCAAUUAUUGGUCUCCAACGAGGAAUUUUUAGUAGUCGCAGGUCAUUAACCUGCGACGA
rnacentral:rRNA from 1 species